rnacentral:rRNA from 1 species
GGGACACGUGGUAUCCUGUCUGAAUAUGGGGGGACCAUCCUCCAAGGCUAAAUACUCCUGACUGACCGAUAGUGAACCAGUACCGUGAGGGAAAGGCGAAAAGAACCCCGGCGAGGGGAGUGAAAAAGAACCUGAAACCGUGUACGUACAAGCAGUGGGAGCACAGAGCAAUCUGUGUGACUGCGUACCUUUUGUAUAAUGGGUCAGCGACUUAUAUUCUGUAGCAAGGUUAACCGAAUAGGGGAGCCGAAGGGAAACCGAGUCUUAACUGGGCGUUAAGUUGCAGGGUAUAGACCCGAAACCCGGUGAUCUAGCCAUGGGCAGGUUGAAGGUUGGGUAACACUAACUGGAGGACCGAACCGACUAAUGUUGAAAAAUUAGCGGAUGACUUGUGGCUGGGGGUGAAAGGCCAAUCAAACCGGGAGAUAGCUGGUUCUCCCCGAAAGCUAUUUAGGUAGCGCCUCGUGAAUUCAUCUCCGGGGGUAGAGCACUGUUUCGGCAAGGGGGUCAUCCCGACUUACCAACCCGAUGCAAACUGCGAAUACCGGAGAAUGUUAUCACGGGAGACACACGGCGGGUGCUAACGUCCGUCGUGAAGAGGGAAACAACCCAGACCGCCAGCUAAGGUCCCAAAGUCAUGGUUAAGUGGGAAACGAUGUGGGAAGGCCCAGACAGCCAGGAUGUUGGCUUAGAAGCAGCCAUCAUUUAAAGAAAGCGUAAUAGCUCACUGGUCGAGUCGGCCUGCGCGGAAGAUGUAACGGGGCUAAACCAUGCACCGAAGCUGCGGCAGCGACGCUGAUGCGUUGUUGGGUAGGGGAGCGUUCUGUAAGCCUGUGAAGGUGUGCUGUGAGGCAUGCUGGAGGUAUCAGAAGUGCGAAUGCUGACAUAAGUAACGAUAAAGCGGGUGAAAAGCCCGCUCGCCGGAAGACCAAGGGUUCCUGUCCAACGUUAAUCGGGGCAGGGUGAGUCGACCCCUAAGGCGAGGCCGAAAGGCGUAGUCGAUGGGAAACAGGUUAAUAUUCCUGUACUUGGUGUUACUGCGAAGGGGGGACGGAGAAGGCUAUGUUGGCCGGGCGACGGUUGUCCCGGUUUAAGCGUGUAGGCUGGUUUUCCAGGCAAAUCCGGAAAAUCAAGGCUGAGGCGUGAUGACGAGGCACUACGGUGCUGAAGCAACAAAUGCCCUGCUUCCAGGAAAAGCCUCUAAGCAUCAGGUAACAUCAAAUCGUACCCCAAACCGACACAGGUGGUCAGGUAGAGAAUACCAAGGCGCUUGAGAGAACUCGGGUGAAGGAACUAGGCAAAAUGGUGCCGUAACUUCGGGAGAAGGCACGCUGAUAUGUAGGUGAAGUCCCUCGCGGAUGGAGCUGAAAUCAGUCGAAGAUACCAGCUGGCUGCAACUGUUUAUUAAAAACACAGCACUGUGCAAACACGAAAGUGGACGUAUACGGUGUGACGCCUGCCCGGUGCCGGAAGGUUAAUUGAUGGGGUCAGCGCAAGCGAAGCUCUUGAUCGAAGCCCCGGUAAACGGCGGCCGUAACUAUAACGGUCCUAAGGUAGCGAAAUUCCUUGUCGGGUAAGUUCCGACCUGCACGAAUGGCGUAAUGAUGGCCAGGCUGUCUCCACCCGAGACUCAGUGAAAUUGAACUCGCUGUGAAGAUGCAGUGUACCCGCGGCAAGACGGAAAGACCCCGUGAACCUUUACUAUAGCUUGACACUGAACAUUGAGCCUUGAUGUGUAGGAUAGGUGGGAGGCUUUGAAGUGUGGACGCCAGUCUGCAUGGAGCCGACCUUGAAAUACCACCCUUUAAUGUUUGAUGUUCUAACGUUGACCCGUGAUCCGGGUUGCGGACAGUGUCUGGUGGGUAGUUUGACUGGGGCGGUCUCCUCCUAAAGAGUAACGGAGGAGCACGAAGGUUGGCUAAUCCUGGUCGGACAUCAGGAGGUUAGUGCAAUGGCAUAAGCCAGCUUGACUGCGAGCGUGACGGCGCGAGCAGGUGCGAAAGCAGGUCAUAGUGAUCCGGUGGUUCUGAAUGGAAGGGCCAUCGCUCAACGGAUAAAAGGUACUCCGGGGAUAACAGGCUGAUACCGCCCAAGAGUUCAUAUCGACGGCGGUGUUUGGCACCUCGAUGUCGGCUCAUCACAUCCUGGGGCUGAAGUAGGUCCCAAGGGUAUGGCUGUUCGCCAUUUAAAGUGGUACGCGAGCUGGGUUUAGAACGUCGUGAGACAGUUCGGUCCCUAUCUGCCGUGGGCGCUGGAGAACUGAGGGGGGCUGCUCCUAGUACGAGAGGACCGGAGUGGACGCAUCACUGGUGUUCGGGUUGUCAUGCCAAUGGCACUGCCCGGUAGCUAAAUGCGGAAGAGAUAAGUGCUGAAAGCAUCUAAGCACGAAACUUGCCCCGAGAUGAGUUCUCCCUGACCCUUUAAGGGUCCUGAAGGAACGUU